rnacentral:lncRNA from 1 species
ACGAUCCUUUUUACCGUCAGCCUUUUUACCCUAUGAAGAUCCCAUAUCCUUAUUACCAUUUCGCAUUUUGCUCCAAGAUGACUCUCCAUCAUCCUUUUUACCCCAAGAUGAUCCAUAGCUUAGUCCCCACAAUCUGAAAUCGGUUUUCUCCUACUGUCUUGCCGGCAGUCCCUUGGCCGCCCCGGUUUGCUUCUUCCUCGUCGGCGGGCCCACGCCAUGGUUGUGGGACCCGCGCCCUUUUUUUUUUUUUAAUCUAUGGAAACGAGUUUGACUGUUAUAUCGGAAUGCCAGGAGUUCAUUUCUUUGCAGGGUUUAAUUCCUCUGUGAAGCUGCGCACGCCUCGGCCUUGCGUCCGUCUCUCCUCCCCCGGCCUUCCCGGCCCGGUGUGGGGCGGUGUCGCUGGCGAGACAUUUCCCUCCAGCUCGUAGGUCCGACUUUCCAUUCCCCCUUUUUCUUGCGUGCUAGGCGACUAAUCCCUCUGUAUACUUGCCUUACAACUCCUUGUUACCCAUUUUUGAACCUCUGAAACUCCACUACACCGUGGUACGAGGACUUUUUGUUGAUCUGAUCUUGGCCGGAGACUCUGAGCUGUUCGAUUUCUCCUUCAACAUUAGCUAUGUCGGUCUAUCAGAACCAUAAGGGAAAUAGGCAAUGGCGGAAACGCUGAUCCCUUAAGUUAGUAUUAAGGGACAUUAACCUAGCUCUGAUACAAAUUGUAACACCCGCCCCUUCCCCAUUUCCGACCGGGGUUCCUGGGCGCGGGGUUGAGGACACACAUGUCUACUUUCCCGACAUCUUCGUGUGUCCCGUUACUGGUCCCAUGAGUUUCAGGUGCAUUUCCUUCCUUACCGCUGACAUUUCCACUUAUAGUUCUGCAAAAAUUGGAGAUGGAAAAGAGGGGUGAGUAUUAAUACUCAGUGAAGUGAUUCUAGACCAGUCUCCCCCAUGAGCCUCUAUACGGCUCAAUGCAAAACGAGAACCGUCUAGUCACUACACUCAGUUCGAUGCAACCUAUUAGCUAGUUACUCAUGUUUCAUUUCACAAAUCAGGCACUGUAAUGAACUCAGUCAUAACUCAAUUCAUAGAAUUCGGUUUAUUAUUUAAGACUCCCCAUCAUCCUAGGACUUUAGGACCUACACAGCUCAAGCGGACCAUUACUCCCCUUUUCUUGCUGCUUCCUGUGAAGUCGCCUGCCCUGGUAGGCCCGUCACCCAGUUCCUCGGGUACGGACCGCCUUUGCAGUGUAUUACGACCCCUUCCCGCCAAGACUCGGCGUGACUGAAUCUUACCGGCGCCUCUAUUCUUACCCUGCCAUUUUUAUCCGAUGCUAUGGCCCCGCAUCUCUGCCGUUUUUGAACACUAUGGCCGCCGUGUUAUCUUUCUUUCCACCCUCCCCGGGUAAUUUAUCCCACCCUUCCCGGGUAAUUUAUCCCACCCUUCCCGGGUAAUUUACUAAUCAUUCAUUCUUCUUUCCUUUUUCUUAUCAUUUCCUUUUCCUUAUUCUUUAGACUCUUUCAUACUUUUCUUUUUAGACGCCACCCGUUCUCGGUGUCACACUCAAUUCAGUAAACAACCAUUUCACGGAUGUCCUAUCAUUCAUCUAAUCAACCGGUUAACGUUUACUAUUAACCUAUUUUUAAUUCCUUCUAAGCAUCCUAGCUUUCAACCACAAACAAGAGUAGAUCAUCGACCAAUCAAUCAUUUAUCAUUCAAUCAACACAAACAAUCCAUUUACUGUCCUUAAUCAGUAUGAGCGUUCUUAUGCAGUAUGAUCUAUCAACCUAACAUCAAUCAGGAUCUAAACCAUCCUAAUUCCUCAUUCAACAAUAUAAAAGAUCAUGAACAAGAUCUGGAACAGAACACCUCACCUUAGCCUAGAUCUGGAUCUGGAUCUGAGAUGAGAGGCAAGAGAGAUGAGAUCUGAGGUCAACGGCACCACACAGCUACCACGACCACUCGCGGCUGCUCACGGCAAGGAGAGAGAGAGGCGGCGUGGAGAGAGAGAGAGGAGGCGCGGCGAGGAGAGAGAGAUGAGGUGGCGCGGAAAAGAGAGAGAAAGAGGAGAAAGGCGGUAUGGGAGAGAGAAAAGAUGUCGACGGCUAGGGCUUCUUGUUUCUGGGAAUUCUCUUCAGGGCUUCGCUUCUAGAUUUCUGAUGAGAGGAAAAGAAGUGGAGGCUUGCUUUUAUAAGGGAAAGAGAAAGGGAAAACCCUAGGGUUUUCUAAUUGGGCUGUAGAGAACCCUUUAGCAUUUAAAAAAUUUAAAUGGGCUGGUUUUGGGGUGUUACAAUUUUCCUCCUCUUAUUCGGAAUUCGUCUCGAAUUCCAAAUCUUCAGUUCGAACUUAACAUCCUAAAACUAGGGUGAGUUUCCAAACACAAUCAAGGGAAGCACGACAUAGGCGUCCUACUUGCUCAAGAUCAUUUUAAAGCAACAAUGAAUUUAAUAAAUGAAAUGGAGUAGGACUACAACAAUAAAUAGGUCCCAAGGUAUUGCCAAAAUCCGCGAAUAUCCUUAUAACAAGAAACAAAAAGCUAAAACCAUUAUGAAAGAAGAAAAAAUUGUUUCCUACUCCUACUAGCUGACUCAGGUACCAGCACUAGCCACUUCGAACUGGAGACUUCUGCUCCCCUUCCGGCUUAGGACCAGCCGCGCGGCCACUCCAGGUCGACGACGCCGGCUCCUCUUCCCACUCUGAGUCCUCCGAUGGAUCCUCUUCCACUUGGCGACGAGCCGACGAGUAAGUGUCCGUUCAGCCUCCAUCGCCUGACCGGCCAUCCGGUUCACCAAGGAGAAUUCCAAUGGUUCCAACACACCAAUCAGCUUGCCCCGAAUCUCCUCGCGGAAACCUGCCUUAUACCACCAGCACCAAUCCUCCGCUGUCUUGGGCUUGCAUCUUUUGGCUGACUCCAGGAAUUCCACUGUGUACUCCCGGACUGAGCGCGUUCCUUGCCUGGCCUGCAUCAAUGUUCCACACCGACAUACACCGGUUAUGCUCCUCAGGCUCUCUGCAUCAAUGCUCGGAAUCUUCCUUGGGCGUCCACGUUUCCCCAUUGGUACACUGUCCUCCAUCCUGAUCGGUCCAGGACCUUCCCUAGUCGGCCCCGUCUUCCUUGGCGCCUUCGGCCCCUUGUGGGCGGUGUCAUGUCAACUUCAGGUGCAAACUGGAAAGUCCCCUGACCCUGGUACAAUCGCCUGUACUCGGCUACCCGCUGGAAAUGGGGCAUCAAAACCCGACGCCUCACGGUCGUCUCCUGGAUAGGGGCGUUCGGCUGCUCCGCGAACUCCAUUUCCUCUUCGUCUGGGAAGAGUGCAGGUACCAUGUCACCCCAUGCGUCACAGUAGGGCUUGCGGGCGUACGCCCUUGUCCCUUUUGGUCCAUAGCGCAUGCGUCUUUCUCCGAGCUCAUGAUGCACAGGUGAAGACAUCCUGCAGCGUAAAAAAAAAACCUGAUCAGAACAUAAUAGUAGUCAUGCAUAGAUGACAGUUUUCAAUCAUUUUUCAAAACUAGUGCUGCUUCAGCAUUCCAUAAAAUAUCAUCCACGGUGUGAUUCUUAUCGUCCCUUUUUGCCCCAUGACGAUCCUUUUUACCGUCAGCCUUUUUACCCUAUGAAGAUCCCAUAUCCUUAUUAGCAUUUCGCAUUUUGCUCCAAGAUGACUCUCCAUCAUCCUUUUUACCCCAAGAUGAUCCUUAGCUUAGUCCUCACAAUCUGAAAUCGGUUUUCUCCUACUGUCUUGCCGGCAGUCCCUUGGCCGCCCCGGUUUGCUUCUUCCUCGUCGGCGGGCCCACGCCAUGGUUGUGGGACCCGCGCCCUUUUUUUUUUUUUAAUCUAUGGAAACGAGUUUGACUGUUAUAUCGGAAUGCCAGGAGUUCAUUUCUUUGCAGGGUUUAAUUCCUCUGUGAAGCUGUGCACGCCUCGGCCUUGCGUCCGUCUCUCCUCCCCCGGCCUUCCCGGCCCGGUGUGGGGCGAUGUCGCUGGCGAGACAUUUCCCUCCAGCUCGAAGGUCCGACUUUCCAUUCCCCCUUUUUCUUGCGUGCUAGGCGACUAAUCCCUCUGUAUACUUGCCUUACAACUCCUUGUUACCCAUUUUUGAACCUCUGAAACUCCACUACACCGUGGUACGAGGACUUUUUGUUGAUCUGAUCUUGGCCGGAGACUCUGAGCUGUUCGAUUUCUCCGUCAACAUUAGCUAUGUCGGUCUAUCAGAACCAUAAGGGAAAUAGGCAAUGGCGGAAACGCUGAUCCCUUAAGUUAAUAUUAAGGGACAUUAACCUAGCUCUGAUACAAAUUGUAACUCCCGCC